CCUAACUUGUUUCUUCAUUGGCCAACAGUACUGUAUUCAACAACCAAUAAGAUAAACAUACAAAGAAGGACCUUCCCCAUCAUCAGAGGACCUUCCCUGUGGCAUAAUUCAGGAAACAUUACUAUAGAAUUUCUUCAGCUAAACAUUAUACUUCAUUAGUCAUUUCAAUUGUGAAGAUUCCAUGUGUUCUGAAUCAUAUCCUGCUGAAUUUAAUAGGGAAUACGGCCUGGAAAUGAAAUGGAGAGCUGUCAGGUCUGAAGUACUGAUUCAAGAGGUCUGUUGAGAUUUGCUUCUACAAAGAAAUGCUUUCAUAUUCAGGUCCACCUUGAAAAUAAGCCAAAUUUGUGAGUGAAAAAAAAAAAUCACUUAAAUGAAUUUCUUCAAUUAAACCACUAGAUGGCAAUA